UGAACACACGAGUAUUACGCUCUUUCCACAACAUGUAGAUGGCUGACUGAAAGUAGAGCUUGAUUACUGGAGUAGCAUGCGCAUCUGCGUUGAAUAGAGUUCUCCAUUGCUUAUAGCAGUGUAAUAAACUCCGUGUGUAAAGGAGAAAAAAUAUUAUAUAAGUGAAAACAAAAAUUAUGAUUUUUUUUCUUGUGCCAAUAGGCUCUUUGCAAUUAGAAGAAGAAAGAACAUAUUGUGUGAAAAUCUUUGGAUCGGUCAAAUUUUAUCCAGUUGUUUAUAAAACUGUUGUUAUCUAAUCAUGUAAUUUUUCAGUGUUGAUUUAAAAGCUCAAAAAACCCAUCUAUACUGACUUUUUGAUAUUUUUUUCUGUGAUUUGAAUUUAAAAAGAGAUAAAACUUUCGAUAAGUUAUGUAAACUCAGAACAAGUAUUUAGCUUUAGAAAGUAUUUACAUGUUUCAAACUUAUAAUAUAUACAUAUAUAAUGUUUAAAACUAUGCAUAUAAAACCUGUGUAAAAUGUGCAUGAAUAUGUUUCUCUUCUUUAAUGUGUUAAUCGUACUAUAUAUAACAUUAUUUUAAAAUUUCAAAAAGUUUAUACAAAGAACCAUCAAUAAAAAAUAUAAUUCUCCAUCUACAACAAGAAAAAUGAAAAAUUAUAAACAAAUAAAUUUAAAUUAAGAAAAACUAACAUUAGAAAAACAAGAAGUUAAUGUAAAAGAAAAAAACCGACAAAUAAUAUUAUAAAUAAAAUAAAUUUAUAAGACACAAUCCGCACGAAGCGCGAAAAAAAUCUCUAGU
rnacentral:lncRNA from 1 species